rnacentral:rRNA from 1 species
UACGUAGGGGCCAAGCGUUGUCCGGAUUUAUUGGGCGUAAAGAGCUCGUAGGCAGUUGGGUAAGUCGGGUGUGAAAACUCCAGGCUCAACUUGGAGAUGCCACCCGAUACUGCUCUGACUUGAGUUCGGUAGGGGAGUGGGGAAUUCCUGGUGUAGCGGUGAAAUGCGCAGAUAUCAGGAGGAACACCGGUGGCGAAGGCGCCACUCUGGGCCGAAACUGACGCUGAGGAGCGAAAGCGUGGGGAGCAAACAGG